rnacentral:rRNA from 1 species
UUAGGAAUCCUCCACAAUGGGCGAAAGCCUGAUGGAGCGACGCCGCGUGAGGGAUGAAGGCCUUAGGGUUGUAAACCUCUAAAAGAGGGACGAUAAUGACGGUACCUCUUGAAUAGCACCGGCUAACUCCGUGCCAGCAGCCGCGGUAAUACGGAGGGUGCAAGCGUUAUCCGGAAUCACUGGGCGUAAAGGGCGCGUAGCGGUCUGUUAAGUCCGAUGUUAAAUCCCGGGGCUCAACCCCGGAUAAGCGUUGGAUACUGGCAGGCUAGACGGUUGGAGAGGCGAGUGGAAUUACCAGUGUAGCGGUGGAGUGCGUAGAUACUGGUAGGAACACCCAUUGCGAAGGCAGCUCGCUGGACAACACGGGACGCUGAGGCGCGAAAGUGUGGGGAGCAAACC